CCUUGUAUAUCUAAUUAUAAGAGCUGGAUUCUUACUCCAGCUAUGUGCUUUUAGCACUACAGGGU
rnacentral:tRNA from 2 species